rnacentral:lncRNA from 1 species
ACAGAUGCCUGCGGCUGUUGCUGCUGCUGCAUGGCCUGCACUGCUUCGAUGAGGCCUCUGACCUGCUGAACCAGUAGGUCGAACUGCUCCAAACCGACCGCCAUUGCCGGAGGAGGAGGAGGAGGAGCCUGAGAAACUGGAGGCGAGGCCGGUGCCUGAGAUCUGACCGCGGAGGUCGUUGAUCGCCUGGUGGAUGCCUUUCGGGGAGGC